rnacentral:lncRNA from 1 species
UACUGCAUUUAACUAAAACUACAGCCAAAAUGAGUAGCAGGGUUCACAAAUAAUGGAGUAAAGUUUAUCUAAGAGAUGAAGGAUGAAAUACAGAGGUUGAUUGAUCAAAAUUAGUUAGCUCAAGCGAAUCGGGCUCAAACCAACGAGCCAAAUUAGGUCCUUAGAUUAAUCAAUUUUACAUAUAAGAUUUAAUUGAUUUGAUCAACAACAAUUGUAUGAUCAUUAACUUAAUUGAUCUGAUCUUGAUCAACACUUGACUCAAUUUGACCAAUUACUUAAUCAGAUUAGACCCAU